GACGAAGGAUGCAAGCGUUAUCCGGAUUCAUUGGGUUUAAAGGGAGCGUAGGUGGCCUUAUAAGUCAGCGGUGAAAUCUCUGGGCUUAACCCAGAAAUUGCCAUUGAUACUGUAGGGCUUGAGUACAGUUGCUGUGGGCGGAAUAUGACAUGUAGUGGUGAAAUACAUAGAGAUGUCAUAGAACACCGAUUGCGAAGGCAGCUGACGAAACUGUAACUGACGCUGAGGCUCGAAAGCGUGGGGAUCAAACAGG
rnacentral:rRNA from 1 species